GCACUCCUCAGCUUGUGCUGCCCGUCUUGAAUGACUGGAGUUUCCUGCUUCUGUCACUACACCUCCCACCCUCUCCAUCACCUGCUCUGCUCUUACAAGGAUCCGAAAAUGGAAUCAUCGUAUCGCUGAUCUAUGUAAACAAACUGAAGAAUUGUCUGAAAGAAAAUAUGCUCGAGCUGUAAAAGCCAAAGGUCCGGUGAUGAUCCCAUACCCUUUUUUCCAGUCUCAUGUUGAAGAUUUUUAUGUAGAAGGCCUUCCCAAAGGAAUUUUUUUUUUUUUUUUUUUUGAGAUGGAGUUUUCACUCUUAUCGCCCAGGCUGGGGUGCAAUGGCGCAACCUUGCUGGUCACUGCAACCUCUGCCUCCUGGGUUCAAGAAAUUCUCCUGCCUUAGCCUCCCAAGUCACUGGGAUUACAGGUGCCCACCACCAUACCAGGCUAAUUUUUGUAUUUUUAGUGGAGAUGCGGUUUCACCAUGUUGGCCGGGCCAGUCUCAAACUCCUGACGUCAAGUGAUCUUCCCGCCUCGACUCCUGAUAUCAAGUGAUCUUCCCGCCUCGGCCUCCCAGAGUGCUGAGAUUACAGACGUGAACCCAUGCCUGGCCAGGAAUUUUGUUUUUUAGGAAGGCUUUCUACUAAUGGAAUUCCUGGCCUUGAGAGGAUGUUACUUUAGAAGGAAAGGAUUUUUUUGUUAUUAAAAGCUGGACCUACCAUGAAAGACUUCUGAAUCCAGGAAGAGAAACUGACUGGGCAACAUGUUAUUCAGAUGGGGUCUUCUUAUGUUGCCCAGGUUGGUCUCAAAUUCCUAGGCUCAAGUGAUUCCGCCCACCUCUGCCUCCCAAAGUGCUGGGAUUACGGGCAUGAGCCAGCGCAUCUGGCCACCUUAUUUUCUAUUACUGGCUCAAUGUAAUGGCUCCAUCUCAGGAACAGCCAAUGAAAGAGAUGCACAGGACAAG
rnacentral:lncRNA from 1 species